GUGCCAGCCGCCGCGGCUAAUACGUACCGGAGCGAGCGUUAUCCGGAAUUAUUGGGCGUAAAGGGUGCGUAGAUGGUACAUUAAGUUUUCUGUAAAAAUGCUAGGCUCAACCUAGUAGGGCAGAGAAUACUGAUGAACUAGAGUAUGGCAGAGGCAAGUGGAACUCCAUGUGUAGCGGUAAAAUGCGUAAAUAUAUGGAAGAACACCAGUGGCGAAGGCGGCUUGCUAGGCCAAUACUGACAUUGAGGCACGAAAGCGUGGGGAGCAAACAGGAUUAGAUACCCUGGUAGUCCACGCCCUAAACGAUGAGUACUAAGUGUUGGUGAGAAUCAGUGCUGAAGUUAACGCAUUAAGUACUCCGCCUGAGUAGUACGUACGCAAGUAUGAAACUUAAAGGAAUUGACGGGAGCCCGCACAAGCGGUGGAGCAUGUUGUUUAAUUCGUCGAUACGCGAAGAACCUUACCAGGUCUUGACAUCCGUGGAAAAGCAUAGAGAUAUGUAAUAUAGCUGCGAGACAGGUGGUGCAUGGUUGUCGUCAGCUCGUGUCGUGAGAUGUUGGGUUAAGUCCCGCAACGAGCGCAACCCUUAUAUUUAGUUACCAUCAUUAAGUUGGGGACUCUAGAUAGACUGCCAGUGAUAAAUUGGAGGAAGGUGGGGAUGACGUCAAAUCAUCAUGCCCUUUAUGACCUGGGCUACAAACGUGCUACAAUGGCUGAAACAAAGAGAAGCAAAAUCGCGAGAUGGAGCAAACCUCACAAAAGCAGUCUCAGUUCGGAUUGAAGUCUGCAACUCGACUUCAUGAAGUUGGAAUCUCUAGUAAUCGCGAAUCAGCAUGUCGCGGUGAAUACGUUCCCGGGCUUUGUACACACCGCCCGU
rnacentral:rRNA from 1 species